rnacentral:lncRNA from 1 species
GAGCACUCUAGUCAGCACAGAGGGAUGCUUAGGCAGUAGUCCUGGCAGCAGCAGCGGCAGUGGCAGAGGCAGUUGUGGUGGCAGGAGGAGAGGGGAGGAGGAGGCCCCGAGGGCUACACAUGCUCACACUUUCAAGUUCCCCUGCAGGGAGAGGAGGUGGGGCUGCUAAAAGAGGACUCCAGGAGCUGUCCCAUCUCGUCUCCCCCUCUUCCUCUUCCUCCCUGCCCUCUGGCUCUGCUAGAGAGUUCAGGGUUGGGUGGCCAUACGUGGCAGUGAGGGCAAAAGGGCCAGGAGAGUGGGGAGCAGAGCCAGGGGUGCGGGACAAGAUGCCCAUCCGGCUGUUCUUCAUAGACAGGUCCACGUCCAUGAACCAGUGCACUGACCUGGACACCUCCUAUUUGGACCUUGCCAAGGCGCUGUGGAGUUAUUUUUGAAGGUACGCAAGGGGAGGGGAGUGAUGGGUCUCGCACCUGAAGUAUUGGGAGGUGGAUUUAGGUGCUUCUGUAACGCUCGUGUCAUUUCGCUCCUUUCCGAGGCAAUCCCCUCCAUCAUCCCUCGCUCCUGGGAAUCGGCCAGCCGCGGAGACCGGGACAUGCUAGUCAUCUACGAGGAGUCCCCGUGCAGCCUCAAGAUAAGCGGGCCAUCCAGGAAGUUGUGGGCGGGAAGGGGCAGCAAGUUGGUUGAGGCUGCCUGCGCCCAGGACCCUCUGGCGUGCAGGCGUGGGUGGGGGGCGCAGAGGGCGGGAGGAGCAGUGCAGUCAGCCGCUUCCCAGGGGCCUCAGUGACCAGGAUUGGGAGAGGAGAGGCUCCACUGAGGAGAUGGAAAGGAGGAGGGGAGGGAGGAGGAGGAAGGAGGGUCGAGUGGGGGUGGGUGGGGGGCUUUGCACUCUGAGGCUUCGAGCCCACCCCCGCCCAUUCGGGAAUCUGUCCGCCCAGACAGCUCCCAACCCCCAGGUCUGGAGAUUCCCGUUGCUUUCUGCUGGGGACUUGGUCACGUUCAGCUGGGGCUACUGUUCAGCUUAGCUACUGAUAGUGUUUCAUCUGAGAUUCCAGCAAAGCAACGAUGUGGGGGGAGAGAUGCCCAGGCACAACCCGCAAGGGGCAGAACUUUUUAGGGACCUGGCCUAUUUGCAUCAGAAAUUAGGUUUGUACCAGCCACGUAGGGAUUUGUCCAGGGACAAGCAAGAAAGGAAGGGAAGACUAAAAUGUGACCAGAUAUACCCAUCAAAUUCGAUGAGUAGAUCCUCAGGGUUCUCAUCCAUGGGAGAAAAGUAGGGAGGACUUAGCUCCUGGGAUAGAUAGUUCAUUUAUGCUCCCAUGGCCAGGAGAUAAAGAACUUCUUUGCCUGCAGUUGCCAGAUAAAACAGAACUCAAACUGGUAAAUCAACCUGUGUAAGAGGCAUGCUUGAAUAUAUUGUCAUUUUAAAGUUAUUACCAUAAUCCUUGACGUCUUUCACUAGACUUUUCCCCCCUCGGAAUUAUCUCCAUAGUGCUUCGGAGUGCAGUCUACCUGCGUUGUAAUCCCUUUCAGCAGAGUGAGGUGUUUUAAUGAGUGGAAUCUACCAGACUGAAUAGUUGGCCAAAGAGUUCCCUUCAGACUUAAGAAAACCAAAGGGGGACGAAUUUGGUAGCUUCCGUUAAAAGCUUGAUUAACAGGUUCCCCUUGACACUGUUCUGAUUUCAUUGCUUUGUUUUCAGGUGUUUUUUUUUUUUUUUUAAUUUAUCUUUUUAGAAAGUAGAUAUCUUUCAAAAUGCCAUUAGCUGUUUGAAAAUGUCAGUUUCCUGAAAGUGGGAAUUUUUUACAUCUACAAAAAGCAGAGGUUUGUACAUCCUGGGUUUAAAUGGCCACACCUUUUGACUACUAAUACAGAUGAGAACCCAGCAUUUGUAGUGUGAACAUUUGAAGGCAUACUCCUCAGUGUGGAAUAGUAAAAAGGAUGAAUUACAAAGUAGCGUGCCUAUGUUUUUCCUUUAAAGGGACAACUUUCUAAAAAUGCUAAGACACACACACACACACACA